CCGUGCUAGAUGGGGAGAUAGCGGUGCCCUGUAACUCGCAAUCCGCUUUAGCGAGGUUGAAUUCCUGUUUGAGGUUAUGCAAUGCAGGGUUUGGCGCUUACAAUCAGUGUUGACAGUUGGGUCCUCCGCAAUGGACGCUUGUGAACCCGGUCAGGUCCGGAAGGAAGCAGCCGUAAGCAAGUUAGUUCAUGUGCCGGGGGAGUGCCUGGCUCGAGCUGAGUCGUAAGAAUGCCGCCUGGACUGCAUGUAUCGAGGGCAGGUGCACGG
rnacentral:SRP_RNA from 1 species